GGUCUGGUGGUCUAGAGGUAUGAUUCCUUCUUAGGGCGUUUGUCGUUUGGAGGAGGUCCCGGGUUCAAUUCCCGGCCAGACCC